rnacentral:misc_RNA from 1 species
GAUGAAGAACGUAGCGAAAUGCGAUACAUAAUGUGAAUUGCAGAAUUCAGUGAAUCAUCGAAUCUUUGAACGCAUAUUGCGCUCUCUGGUAUUCCGGAGAGCAUGCUUGUUUGAGUAUCAGUAAACACCUCAACUCCCUUUUCUUUUUUGAAAUUGGAGCUGGACUUGAGUGAUCCCAACGCUUUCUUCCAAGAAAGUGGCGGGUUGCUUGAAAUGCAGGUGCAGCUGAACUUUUCUCUGAGCUAUAAGCAUAUCUAUUUAGUCUGCCUAAAAAACAGAUUAUUACCUUUGCUGCAGCUAACAUAAAGGAGACUAGUUCUUGUGCUGACUGAUGCAGGAUUCACAGAGACAGCUUCGGCUGACUUUGUAAACUCGAUCUCAAAUCAAGUAAGACUACCCGCUGAACUUAAGCAUAUCAAUAAGCGGAGGA